CGCUUGUAUAUUGACAAGGGACAGAUGAGACACACGAGUGUAUAUCCGGUGCAGAGUGACUGAUGAAGGAAUGCUGCCAUCAAAGACUCUCAAUCUUUUGUGGUGGAGCAGGACCUGCAAGACAAGGUGACAGCGACAUUUGUGGAAAAAAGGGAAAACCUGAAACAAAAGGAUAAAGUAAGAUCAUUUUAUUACUUUUAAUACAGAGAUCAGAUGACAUUGUGCUGUUAAAAUGACUGCUUGUGUAUUAUGUUUGGCUGUUUUUGUAUGAUCUGAAAUGUCUGCAGGCUGCUGUGAGCGCUGAGGAUGGAGAGUCCACAGCAGCAUCCUGGAAAUGAUCCAGUGCCAUGAAUGAGACGCUCCAACACUGCACCUGCCCUCAUCUGAACCAGAUGCUGCUGUGGUCUCUUCAUCAUCAGUGACCCCAGAGCCAGCGAGAACAUCUAGAGAAAGACCAAAAGACAUCGAGGAUGUGACAUUGGUCAAGUUUAUUCUGCUGGUCUCUGUUCAUACAGUGAAGGCUGACUUUCAGAAGCUUCACAAGCAUCAUCAAAAAAUAGUCAUGAAGCUUUUAUCGAAAGUGAUUUCCAGUGCUGUUA